GCCAGGUUGAGUGGCCCAAAAUGGAAGACUGUUGGCAACAGGUUACCCAUCGCAUAUUCCAUGAUAGCCAGCCUCUCGAGAUGAAUAUCAUGAAUCCCCAGAGACAACUGGACAAGUGGGCCUUGCGUGUACAGAUGGAACAACCAUGGCGGCCAGGUUGAGUGGCCCAAAAUGGAAGACUGUUGGCAACAGGUUACCCAUCGCAUAUUCCAUGAUAGCCAGCCUCUCGAGAUGAAUAUCAUGAAUCCCCAGAGACAACUGGACAAGUGGGCCUUGCGUGUACAGAUGGAACAACCAUGGCGGCCAGGUUGAGUGGCCCAAAAUGGAAGACUGUUGGCAACAGGUUACCCAUCGCAUAUUCCAUGAUAGCCAGCCUCUCGAGAUGAAUAUCAUGAAUCCCCAGAGACAACUGGACAAGUGGGCCUUGCGUGUACAGAUGGAACAACCAUGGCGGUAAGCGGCCUUUCGUCAAGGAGACCUAGUGGUUUGGCUCCAGGGAUCUGGGCAUGGGCUUCACACUCUCACCUUCUGGGGUUUCCCUGGGGCAUGCAAGGUCCCAGGCCCACAGGCUUAGCUGUAAUUCCUGCCUCUUGGCUGGGAUCUGUGCAGUUCCAACUGCUGAUGUGAUUGAGAUUGCUGGCCUUCCAAGGGUGGAGGUCCUGACUUUGCUCAUUCAGCAUCUGAGCACAUGCACUUAGAUGGAUGAUGAUUCCCACAAAGGCAGUCUUGAAAAUUGGACAAAAUGAGUUAUCAAUCCUUAUCAUGUCUCUUUGGAACUAAGAUCCAGCAUGUGGCUCCCAGAGGGAUGGAAUGGCCAGGGUCACAUUGCCUUUGCUCCCUGGGGCAUCAGCGGCAACAGCAUGGAAGCUGAGAGUGACAACCUUGUGGUGUGUAGGUGCAUUUGGAGCGAAGGACAACAGUGGCAGAUUUAUGGACCAUCCAACAGUUUUCCUCUCCCAUAAUCAGUUCCUCUCUGGCGGAAUUCCAGAUCCACAAGUGGUUGGUAUCAUGUCCUGUCUUGUCCUGGUGGCCAAUUAUGAGGCAAAGGGGAUGUAUGAGGCAAACAGAAAACAUCUCUCCAUGUUCUCCCUGUGUGCAUGGCAUAAGGUGUGCCUCAGGAUAUCCACAUGUUAUCUCUAUAUCCAGCCCACCUAUCCUUUCCCCAGUUUAGGAGUUUUUCCUGGAAUUCAGUGGGCUGGACCCGGUGAAAACAGAGGAGUCAGUUGCCCACAUAAGCGGAUGCUGUCUUAAGGACAGGAGAGGCUUUCUGUCACAGGGGUCUUUUUGUUUUGUGGCCUGCUGGUGCAGCAACACUGUGGUCUCUUGUGUUCCUAGCCUCAAGCCAGAGACAUCAUCAUGGGUUCAGCAGCUGCAGCUGUUUCUGGAUUCUGUCAUGGCAUGGCUUGUGCUGUCAAGAUGGUCAUGGAUCACGUGGGUCUUGUGUUGUCUCCGGGGCCACUGUAGUGAUGUUUCACUGCCUUAAAAAGUGCAAUACAUCACAAUGAGUAACUUACAUGCUGUAAAAAGGGUGGAGCGCCACAUCUUUGCGUUUCAGAAUAGUUCCAAUGGCCUGUAGCUUUUUGUGUUUUUCAAGCUAAACACUUGUAGCACGGCUGUAGUCUGGGAAACAAGCACACUUGUGUGCUACCUAGAUUGUUCACAGCUGUACUGUGGAGCCCCUUUGUUGCACAGCCCAAGAACUAGUUUCAUGGAUAAUCUCCUUGUCAAAGGAGGGCCUUAUUCUUAUGCAAGCUCUCAGAUACCUUUGUUCCUUCCCCAUGGUGGUGAGACCAUUUUGAGCAGAGUAGGUACCAAGAGUGUGUUUUCCUGGAGGGACAGUGGUAGUUCAGACAAGGUGGCCUCCUUCCCCUGAGGGUGAAUUGGGGUUUCUUAGAGGUUAUCUUUACAUUGGGUGAAAAAGUUGGCUUAAAGCUCAACAUUCAGAAAACGAAGAUCAUGGCAUCUGGUCC
rnacentral:lncRNA from 1 species